GCAUACGCCCUACGGGAGAAAGCAGGGGACCUUCGGGCCUUGCGCUAUCAGAUGAGCCUAGGUCGGAUUAGCUAGUUGGUGAGGUAAUGGCUCACCAAGGCGACGAUCCGUAACUGGUCUGAGAGGAUGAUCAGUCACACUGGAACUGAGACACGGUCCAGACUCCUACGGGAGGCAGCAGUGGGGAAUAUUGGACCGUGGGCGAAAGCCUGAUCCAGCCAAGCCGCGUGUGUGAAGAAGGUCUUCGGAUUGUAA
rnacentral:rRNA from 1 species